rnacentral:rRNA from 1 species
UAGCGGCGAGCGAACGUAGCGGCGAGCGAACGGGGAGCAGCCCAGAGUCUUAAUCAGCAUUAGCAUCAGGAGAACGGUCUGGAAAGUCCGGCAGUAAAGGGUGAUAGCCCCGUAUCCGAAGGUGUUAGUGUUGUGAACUCGACGAGUAGGGCGGGACACGUGUUAUCCUGUCUGAAUAUGGGGGGACCAUCCUCCAAGGCUAAAUACUCCUGAUUGACCGAUAGUGAACCAGUACCGUGAGGGAAAGGCGAAAAGAACCCCGGCGAGGGGAGUGAAAUAGAACCUGAAACCGUGUACGUACAAGCAGUGGGAGCCCCAUCACUCAAGUGCCUCGGCAAUUGAGUGAUGGUGUAAAACCAUCACAAUAACAGCGCAGGAUUUGCCAACAAGAUUGGCUGAUUUUUUCAAGCCGCAGCGCAGUGGACAUCGAAGUCCAUGAGCAGCGGAAGUUAAAAAAUCGGGCAAGAUUGGCCGCAAAGCCAAGCGGGACAUUUGAGGAUGGGGUGACUGCGUACCUUUUGUAUAAUGGGUCAGCGACUUAUAUUCUGUAGCAAGGUUAACCGUAUAGGGGAGCCGUAGGGAAACCGAGUCUUAACUGGGCGAAUAAGUUGCAGGGUAUAGACCCGAAACCCGGUGAUCUAGCCAUGGGCAGGUUGAAGGUUGGGUAACACUAACUGGAGGACCGAACCGACUAAUGUUGAAAAAUUAGCGGAUGACUUGUGGCUGGGGGUGAAAGGCCAAUCAAACCGGGAGAUAGCUGGUUCUCCCCGAAAGCUAUUUAGGUAGCGCCUUGUGAACUCAUCUUCGGGGGUAGAGCACUGUUUCGACUAGGGGGUCAUCCCGACUUACCAACUCGAUGCAAACUACGAAUACCGAAGAAUGUUAUCACGGGAGACACACGGCGGGUGCUAACGUUCGUCGUGAAGAGGGAAACAACCCAGACCGCCAGCUAAGGUCCCAAAGUCAUAGUUAAGUGGGAAACGAAGUGGGAAGGCUCAGACAGCCAGGAUGUUGGCUUAGAAGCAGCCAUCAUUUAAAGAAAGCGUAAUAGCUCACUGGUCGAGUCGGCC